rnacentral:tRNA from 1 species
UCCCGGCUAGCUCAGUCGGUAGAGCGUCAGACUCUUACUUGACAAGGGUUUCCUAGAAACAAUCCUCGGAUGUAUAUCUGAAUGUCGUGGGUUCGAGCCCCACGUUGGGAG